rnacentral:sRNA from 1 species
CUGCACCAAAAAAGCUCUCACUGUUGUUGAUAAUAGUGAGCGGUGUAACGACAA